rnacentral:rRNA from 1 species
GAUGAACGCUAGCGGCAGGCUUAACACAUGCAAGUCGAGGGGUAUAGGGAGCUUGCUUCCUAGAGACCGGCGCACGGGUGCGUAACGCGUAUGCAAUCUACCUUUUGCAGAGGAUAGCCCAGAGAAAUUUGGAUUAAUACCUCAUAGUAUGUGAGAAUGGCAUCAUUUUCACAUUAAAGUCACAACGGCAAAAGAUGAGCAUGCGUCCCAUUAGCUUGUUGGUAAGGUAACGGCUUACCAAGGCAACGAUGGGUAGGGGUCCGUGAGAGGGAGAUCCCCCACACUGGUACUGAGACACGGACCAGACUCCUACGGGAGGCAGCAGUGGGGAAUUUUGGACAAUGGGCGCAAGCCUGAUCCAGCAAUGCCGCGUGCAGGAUGAAGGCCUGGUUGUAACUGUCUUUGUACGGUAACGAACGGUAGAGCUCUAA